CCUGGCCUUGACAUACUAAGAACUUUCCAGAGAUGGAUUGGUGCCUUCGGGAACUUAGAUACAGGUGCUGCAUGGCUGUCGUCAGCUCGUGUCGUGAGAUGUUGGGUUAACGUCCGCAACGAGCGCAACCCUUUUCCUUAUUUGCCAGCGGGUCAUGCCGGGAACUUUAAGGAUACUGCCAGUGACAAACUGGAGGAAGGCGGGGACGACGUCAAGUCAUCAUGGCCCUUACGGCCAGGGCUACACACGUGCUACAAUGGUCGGUACAAAGGGUUGCUACCUCGCGAGAGGAUGCUAAUCUCAAAAAGCCGAUCGUAGUCCGGAUCGCAGUCCGCAACUCGACUGCGUGAAGUCGGAAUCGCUAGUAAUCGCGGAUCAGAAUGCCGCGGUGAAUACGUUCCCGGGCCUUGUACACACCGCCCGUCACACCAUGGGAGUUUGUUGCACCAGAAGUAGGUAGUCUAACCGCAAGGAGGACGCUUACCACGGUGUGGCCGAUGACUGGGGUGAAGUCGUAACAAGGUAGGCGUAGAUGA
rnacentral:rRNA from 1 species